CCUGCCCAUUGGCCGCCGCGCUCCCCGCCGCCGCGCAGACGCCCACAGAAGAACGCAGAGCGCGUGCUCCGCAGCGCCCCGCCCGCUCGGAGAAAUCUUCCCCACCAUCCAAAUAAAAACGACAACCUGAAGCAUCGUAAAGUAGAUCUACAACUACCCCUGGAAUAGGAGUUCCAGCUUGUUUAUUGAAGGGUUCCCGAUUGCUCCAGCCCUUGAAGAACUGCAGUAUUUACUUUGUAAACUCUGCAUGCAGGUGCAAAUGUCUGUGAAAUAAAGCUGCCUUUUCCUCAAUGGACGGCUUUUGGUAUAGAUGUUAACACCUUGUCUAGAUUUGCACCAGGUAGAAGUCAGUUUGUCUUUUUGCUAUGCCUGCUGUAGGCACAUAAACUUUAACCACACUCCAAAGCGACACACCUUUCAUUUUACUUUUACUUGUUCCUGGAUUCUUUAAGAGUGUUUAAUGUAGGCCAAGUAAUAGUUGUCAUUUGUAACUGAUAACCAUGCAGAACAAAUAAAAGCAACACGAAUAAACAA